rnacentral:rRNA from 1 species
AUUGAACGCUGGCGGCAGGCUUAACACAUGCAAGUCGAACGAGUGGCGGACGGGUGAGUAAUGCUUGGGAAUCUAGCUUAUAGAGGGGGAUAACUACGGGAAACUGUAGCUAAUACCGCGUACCAUAGGAUGAGCCCAAGUGGGAUUAGGUUGUUGGUGGGGUAAAGGCUCACCAAGACGACGAUCUCUAGCUGGUCUGAGAGGAUGACCAGCCACCUUGGGACUGAGACACGGCCCAGACUCCUACGGGAGGCAGCAGUGGGGAAUAUUGGACAAUGGGCGAAAGCCUGAUGCAGCCAUGCCGCGUGUGUGAAGAAGGUCUUCGGGUUGUAAAGCACUUUCAGCGAGGAGGCGUUACCCGCAGAAGAAGCACCGGCUAACUCCGUGCCAGCAGCCGCGGUAAUUC